rnacentral:tRNA from 1 species
GGUCCCGUGGUGUAGCGGUUAUCACGUCGCCCCUGUCACGGCGAAGAUCGCGGGUUCGAUUCCCGUCGGGACCG